rnacentral:rRNA from 1 species
AAUCGAACCCGGAGAUAGCUGGUUCUCCUCGAAAUAGCUUUAGGGCUAGCCUCAUGGAUCAUUGAUGGGGGUAGAGCACUGAAUGUGCGCGGGGGCCACAAAGCCUACCAAACGCUAUCAAACUUCGAAUACCAUACAAUGCAGACCAUGGGAGUCAGUCCGCGAGAGAUAAGUUCCGCGGGCAAAAGGGGAACACCCCAGAUCAACCGCUAAGGUCCCCAAGUUCACGUUAAGUGGAGAAGGAUGUGGAAUUGCACAGACAACCAGGAUGUUGGCUCAGAAGCAGCCACACAUUUAAAGAGUGCGUAAUAGCUCACUGGUCGAGUGAUUGUGCGCCGAAGAUGUCCGGGGCUAAACGUGACACCGAAGCGAUGGGUGCAUCUGAAAGGAUGCGCGGUAGAGGAGCAAUGUGCAGAGGCAGAAGCCGUAUCGAGAGGCACGGUGGACACUGCACAAGAGAGAAUGCCGGUAUGAGUAGCGAGAGGCAUGCGAGAAACAUGCCCGUCGAAAGCCCAAGGUUUCCUGGGGAAGGUUCAUCCGCCCAGGGUAAGUCGGGGCCUAAGCCGAGGACGGAAGUCGUAGGCGAUGGAUAGCAGGUGUAGAUUCCUGCACUACCGAUGGAAUGAAGCAGUGACACAGAAGGAUAACUCGAGCAGGGUGAUGGUCAACCCUGUGCAAGCAUCAAGGUUGGGUUGUAGUGAAGUACGCAAUCCUAUAAGCUGAGAUGUGAUGCGGACCGAAAUUUCAGUAGGGAAGCGAGUGAGUUCACGCUGGCGAGAAAAGCUGCUAGUACAUCCAAAGGUACCCGUACCGGAAACCGACGCAGGUGGGCGAGGAGAGAAUCCUGAGACGAACGGGAGAACCCUUGUUAAGGAACUCGGCAAAAUGACCCCGUAACUUCGGGAUAAGGGGUGCCUGCGAGAGCAGGCCGCAGAGAAUAGUCACAAGCGACUGUUUAGCAAAAACACAGGUAUCUGCGAAAGCGAGAGCUGACGUAUAGGUGCUGACACCUGCCCGGUGCUGGAAGGUUAAGGGAACAUGUUAGAGCAAUCGAAGCAUCGAACCGAAGCCCCAGUAAACGGCGGCCGUAACUAUAACGGUCCUAAGGUAGCGAAAUUCCUUGUCGGGUAAGUUCCGACCCGCACGAAUGGUGUAACGACUUGUGAGCUGUCUCAACAGGGGGCCCGGUGAAAUUGAAGUAUGGGUGAAGAUGCCCAUUACCCGCGACUGGACGGAAAGACCCCGUAGAGCUUUACUGCAGCCUGAUAUUGAGUUUCGGUAACUGAUGCACAGGAUAGGUGGGAGUCUGAGAGACAUGGGUUUCGGCUCAUGUGGAGACGGUGUUGGGAUACCACUCUUCGGUUACUGAAAUUCUAACAUAGCUCUGUGAAACCAGAGGAUGGACAGUGUCAGGUGGACAGUUUGACUGGGGCGGUCGCCUCCGAAAGAGUAACGGAGGCGCCCAAAGGUACCCUCAGAAUGGAUGGAAACCAUUCGAAGAGCGCAAAGGCAGAAGGGUGCCUGACUGCGAGAUUGACAAAUCGAGCAGAGACGAAAGUCGGGCUUAGUGAUCCGGCGGUAUUGAGUGGAAAAGCCGUCGCUUAACGGAUAAAAGCUACCUCGGGGAUAACAGGCUGAUCUCCCCCAAGAGUCCACAUCGACGGGGAGGUUUGGCACCUCGAUGUCGGCUCAUCGCAUCCUGGGGCUGUAUUCGGUCCCAAGGGUUUGGCUGUUCGCCAAUUAAAGCGGCACGCGAGCUGGGUUCAGAACGUCGUGAGACAGUUCGGUCCCUAUCCAUCGUGGGCGUAGGAGUCAUGAGAGGAGCUGUUCCUAGUACGAGAGGACCGGAAUGGACGCACCACUGGUGCAACUGUUGUCGUGCCAACGGCAUAGCAGGGAAGCGAAGUGCGGAUGGGAUAAACGCUGAAGGCAUCUAAGCGUGAAGCCCACCUCAAGAAUAAGACUCCACAAUAGACCCCUGGAGGACUACCAGGUAGAUAGGUCAUCGGUGGAAGCGCUGUAAGGCGUGU